GAAUUUUGGACAAUGGGGGCAACCCUGAUCCAGCCAUGCCGCGUGAGUGAUGAAGGCCUUCGGGUUGUAAAGCUCUUUUGGCGGGGACGAUGAUGACGGUACCUGAGGAAUAAGCUACGGCUAACUACGUGCCAGCAGCCGCGGUAAUACGUAGGUGGCGAGCGUUGUCCGGAUUUACUGGGCGUAAAGGGCGCGCAGGCGGUCGUUCAAGUCGCGUGUGAAAGCCCCCGGCUCAACUGGGGAGGGUCACGCGAUACUGAUCGACUCGAAGGCAGGAGAGGGUAGUGGAAUUCCCGGUGUAGUGGUGAAAUGCGUAGAUAUCGGGAGGAACACCAGUGGCGAAGGCGACUACCUGGCCUGUUCUUGACGCUGAGGCGCGAAAGCUAGGGGAGCAAAC
rnacentral:rRNA from 1 species